CGAACGCUGGCGGCAUGCCUAACACAUGCAAGUCGAACGAGACCUUCGGGUCUCGUGGCGCACGGGUGCGUAACGCGUGGGAACCUGCCCUUAGGUUCGGAAUAAUUCCCCGAAAGGGGUGCUAAUACCGGAUAAUGUCUUCGGACCAAAGAUUUAUCGCCUUUGGAUGGGCCCGCGUUGGAUUAGCUAGUUGGUAGGGUAAAAGCCUACCAAGGCGACGAUCCAUAGCUGGUCUGAGAGGAUGAUCAGCCACACUGGGACUGAGACACGGCCCAGACUCCUACGGGAGGCAGCAGUGGGGAAUAUUGGACAAUGGGCGAAAGCCUGAUCCAGCAAUGCCGCGUGAGUGAUGAAGGCCUUAGGGUUGUAAAGCUCUUUUACCCGGGAUGAUAAUGACAGUACCGGGAGAAUAAGCUCCGGCUAACUCCGUG
rnacentral:rRNA from 1 species